ensembl:lncRNA
GUUUACCGCUUUUUGAAUCAGAGCUGCAGGAUUAUCGAGUGUGUGAGGUAAGUUUAUCUUUUCUCUUUUAGUUUAGUGUAACAAGGGCGUAUCCACGGUAUGGACAUUAGGGGUCCAAUCCCCAACAUCCAGAGUCUGAUACUGAAAAUUCUCACAUGUAGAAGAUAGUUUUAGGAUUACAGUUACGGUUUGAAUUCAGGUGAUGUCUGAGAUAAGGUGUGUUCAGGAAAACCCCACACACUAACAUUUAAACACACAAUCACGACUUUUAAACACACUCAGAAAGGAUGGCUACCUAUGGAACGAAAUUCAACACUAUACAUGUAAUAAAUACAAUUUCCCCACGGAUGAUUCCGAGCAAAGGCGUUCAAAGGGAAAAACAUUUUAGGAAAUUUUCUGAGAAUAUGAUAAAGAUGGAGAAUCUUUACAGACACGUGCAAGCAGGCUACUUCCGGUUCAUCUCUUACAAAGUAGUGAAAACGCUAUGAACAUAAGAAAUGGUUCAUUUACUCAAAUAUUCUUCUAUUUCAACAAGAUCCACUAGAUGGUGCUAAAAUGCAAGAAAUCGCACCUGCCGAAUAGAAUGAUGCAUUUUCCAGAAGUAGCAAAUAGAAUAACUUCUAAUGGGUACAAAUUACAUAUCCAAAAUAUGUUUAUGUAAACCAUGUGACUAUAAUCAAUGCUGUACUUGAACAUAUGACAGAUUAUUCCUUUAUCAAAAAAAAAAUCUGUGUGUGUGCGUGUCUCAAUUCCACACAGACACGCACACACACACACUUUAGCUUUUUUUAUUUAGUAUUAAAUUAAAUACACAAUCAUGUCUUCAUUUGAUUGAAGUUGGUUCUGUUGCGUUCUCACUCUUAACCCUUAUUUUGACUGGACUUUCUCUUCACUCUAUUCUUCAACAUUCCCCCACUUUUCAGCCUUUCCCUUUCCUUUCCUUUCUCUCAGUUGUUGAUGUCUUUCCUGAGACUCUUGUGUAUCAAUCAUUUCUUCCAGACUUCCCCAGUCUGCUCCCCACACUAUCAGACUAUAUUUAUUAUCCUCACUGCCAUUUAAAAUACCAGACACGUUCCUAUUUCAUCACACUUUAAAGAUCUGGCUCCGCCCACUUCUCCCCGUUUCCCCGCCCCCUGUCACGAGCUCUAAGGUGUGGUCCAAUAUCUAAACACUGCAUUCGGAAUGUGAGCAGAGUUUCUCAAGUGGAACUGUCCUGUCUCCAGACUGAAACAGAUUCUCCUCAUACUCGGAGUCUGGGAUUCAUUUAGCUUUUAUUUAGCUGAUGUUCAGUUUGUGUUUUGAAUCGUGUCCUAGUGCUUUUAUUCUGCACUUCCGUCUUUGUUUCUGUUCAUCAGAGCAAGUGGUUAUAGUUUAUCAUCCAGGUGAGUACUGAAUGAAGUGUGAAGUGUUUGUUUCAUAGGCUAGUAAACACGUGUUUGACUGAUGGACAUUGAUUACUGUAAUGGGUUUAAAUAUCUGGAGUGAGAAUAGAUCUGAAUCAGGUCUGUUCUGUGGUGUUUUAAACUUUUAUCAACUGCUCAGCUGAGGUUUAAGGUCUAAAACUAAAAAAUAAAGUUCGGCUGUACUGAGUUCAUGACUUUAACUGAGGGAGAGAGAGCAGAAGAGACACACACACACACACAGAAUGAGUGAGAGAGAAGAAUUGCUUCUCACUUGCAAAACACCGGAGCAAGUCCACAACAGAAUGGCUUCAGGAAAACAAAAUCUGCCUUUGGAGGGGCGGAGUCUGAGCCCAGACCUCUACCCAAUAGAGAUGCUAUGGAAUGACGUGAAGAGAGCCGUACACACGAGACGUCCAAAGAACAUGACCGAGCUAAAACAGUUCUGCAGGAAGAACGGGAUAAAACUCCUCCUGAACGAUGUGCAGGUCUGAUCCACAGCUACAGGAAGUGCCUGGUUGAGGUUAUUGCUGCCAAGCGGGGGGUCAACCAGUUAUUAAUUCUAAGGGUUCACUUACUUUUUCCACUGCCAUUUUGAAUGUUGAAUGAGCGUGUUCAAUAAAGACAUGAGGAUCAGGAUUUAUUUUGUGUUAUUAUUUUAGGCACAUUAUAUUUGUCAAUACCCCUGACUUAGAUGAAGAUCAGAUCACAUUUUAUGACAAAUUUAUUCAGAAAACCAUGAAAUUCCAACGGGUUCACAUACUUUUUCUUGUGUGUGUGUGUAUGUAUGUAUGUAUGUAUAUGUGUGUGUGUGUGUAUGUGUGUGUGUGUGUGUGUGUGUAUAUAUAUGUAUAUGUCACCUAAUUCUUCAUGAAGAAGUGUAUGUAUUUAUCUAAUAAGGACUUUUAUUAUGCUGAAUGCACUUAAUUUCAGUAGUUUUGCUCAGGUGUCAUCAGCUAAGCUAAUUCCAGCUAGCUACAUUGGAUAUAAAAAGUCUACACACCCCUGUUAAAACUGCAGGUAUUUGUGAUGUGAAAGAAUGACACUAAGACAAAUCGUCAGAACUUUUCCCCUCAAGGUGAAAUUACAGCGUUUAAAAAUUAAGUGAAAAACGUACAAUAACCAGGUUGCAUAAGUGUGCACACCCCGGAACUAAUCCUCUUCAGGUCACCCCACAGAUUUUUAGCUGGAUUCAGGUCUGGGCUCGAGCUAGCUCAUUCAAAAACACUGAGCUUCUUUUGGUUACGUGUGCCUUUGUUGAUUUGGACGUGUGCUUUGGGUCAUUAUCAUGCUGAAAGGUGACAUUCCUUUUCAUCUACAGUUUACUAGCAGACACCUCAAUGUUCUGCACCACAAUCCACUUUAAACAGGGGUGUGUAGACUUUUUUUUAUAUCCACUGUAGUAUUAUAUUAGCUUAAACCUGGAGGCAGUCAGGUUCAAUCGUUUUUACCCUUGUUAUUGUUAAUAUUUAUAUUAAAUACUAAAUCUGUAUAUACCAUCAAUCUCACUGUAUAUGUAAUUCUCGUUCACAUAUCGCUCCUGUGUGUAACGCUGGCUACAGACUGCAGUAAUCCAUCUCUUCUGUAUCUGGCCCUCACUUUAAAUACUCAUGGGAAUGAACAUUCUUCUGUUGGAACAGUAAUCUACCUCCAGUAGCCCUCGCGACACGGUGGUGGUGUUCUAACUCGGUGAGCCUGCUGCACUGGUCACCUGAUCUUCAUUUACUUCCUGGUUCUAAACACAGAAAUCAGGGAUUCGACCUCAUCAUGUGUCUGUGGGUUAAAAUCAGUUCUGUUCUGAUGUAAAGAUGAAAUCAUUUCUUAUAACACUAGAACAAAUAUUUCUAUAUUCUUAUUUAAGUUAUGAAACAGCGGUUGAUUUAGUUACAGCCAGAUGAAGGCCAUAUUGUGCUGAAAGCCGCAUUCCUUUAUUGUGUUAUUAUAUUAUAUUCUGUUAAACACUCAGUGUUUGUAUUAAAACCCCUGAACACCUGCACAUUUCUGCAGUGAUUUAAUCAGCACAGUGUAUAAAAUCCUGCAGAUCCAGGUCAGGAGCUUCAGUUCAUGUUCACAUCAAACCUCAGAAUGAAGAAACAGUGUGAUCUGUGUGACUUUAACCCUGGCGUGGUUGUAGGUACCAGGUUUGAGGAUUUCAGAAACAUCACUCUGUAGUGUUUACACACAGUGAGGAACAGUUCUGAGGGAUGAGACGCCUGGUUCAGAGAGCUCAGAGGAACAAUCCUGAUUGGUUCACACCAACGUGCUCUUCUGCUGCUGUGCCUCAGGGUUUGACGUGAGCAUAACCAACCUACAUGAAACUACAUUGCUUCUUUUAAUCGCACGCAGACGCAAAAAUCUACAGCCUUCAAGGUGACCACUGUCUGUCAACGUUCAUUCUGACUUCCUGCCCCAUUCUGACUUCCUGCCACAAUCUGACUUCCUGCCACAAUCUGACUUCCUGCCCCAUUCUGAUCUCCUUCACGUGCACCUGCAUGUUCAGUAUUUCUGUGUCUGCUGAGAUUAUAAUGUUUGGAACGGGUUACUGUGGGACACAAAUAUCUCCCUGAUGUUAAAUAUAUAUAGUAUAAUGUUCUAGCUGAGUGAAGCACACGCUGAUCCACUUUAUUUCACAUUAAUGAUCUCAAAAUCCCAUUUCCACUGUACACCUGCAGCCUGAACUUGUGAGGUUGAGAAAUAAUGUUGGAAUAUUACCUGAUGAAUAAUGAAGAUGGGAUUUUAACAACUGAAUAUUUUGGAACUGUAUUUUAGGAAGGUGAAUGUGUGUGUGUGUGUGUGUGUGUGUGUGUGUGUGUGUGUGUGUGUGUGUGUGUGUGUGUAUUGAAUUACGAAUGCUGGAAUUUUAUUUUCAAUCAAAAUAGACAAACCCACCGAGCUGCAGAGGAAGCUAAUUCGAGUAUUGUUAUUACGAUAUGUUUUUAUUCAGUUUAUGUAAUUCAACAUGCCGUUUUGCCGUGAGGACAUGUGGCACUGUUAUACUUCCAUAAUUUGUAGGAUUUAUAUGAAAUGAUCUUCGUAACCAGCAGAUGAACUGAUUCGGUUCAGAUUAGAGAGAUCAGAAAACAGCUGCACAGAUCAUUCCACAGUCACAUGUCCAUGUGCUCCUCUGUGGUUCCUCUGUGGUUCCUGGGGAGAGAACACUGCUCUUUUGGUGGAGUUUUGAGAGAGGACCUGUACUAGCGUACUCUGAUGGGUUUUGUGGAGCUCCUACACUAAAUGUUGUGAUGCAGAUGUGCUUCUAGAAUAUCAUGUGUAAUAAAUAUCAGGGGAUAUGGUGUCAGUGGAACAUCAUGUACAGCUGAUUAAACUGGUCCAUACCGCUGCAGACUGGUAGAUCGAGUAGAUAAAGGAGUGAUGGAGAAGAUGGCCUGAGCCAGUGUUAGUGGGAUAGACUCCGGAUCCACCACAACCCUGACCAGGAAGUUCUCUAGUCCUGAUUAAUAUGGAUUCAUAUGAUUCAGUCUUUUUCUUCUGUAAUUCCACCAUAAAACUCUCCUGUUUACUUUGUG